rnacentral:rRNA from 1 species
CAAUAGCGUAUAUUUAAGUUGUUGCAGUUAAAAAGCUCGUAGUUGGAUUUCGGUUGAGAGCGGCCGGUCCGCCGUUUGGUGUGCACUGGCUGGUUUCAACUUCCUGUAGAGGACGCGCUUUGGGCUUAACGGUCUGAACGUGGAGUCUACGUGGUUACUUUGAAAAAAUUAGAGUGUUCAAAGCAGGCUUUCGCUUGAAUACAUUAGCAUGGAAUAAUAAGAUAGGACUUUGGUGCUAUUUUGUUGGUUGAGCCUAAAGUAAUGAUUAAUAGGGAUAGUUGGGGGCACCUGUAUUGCGUUGUCAGAGGUGAAAUUCUUGGAUUUACGCAAGACAAACAGCUGCGAAAGCGUCUGCCAAGGAUGUUUNCAUUA